CGGAUCAGUUGUUACUUGAUGUACACAUGCAAGUCUCCGCCCCCCUGUGAAAACGCCCUUUAAUCCCUCCAAGGGAUAAGGAGCUGGUAUCAGGCACAAAAAUUAGCCCAAGACACCUAGCCAUGCCACACCCACACGGGAUUUCAGCAGUGAUUAACAUUGUUUAUAAGCGCUAGCUUGAAUCAGUCAAAGUAAAAAGGGCCGGCUAAUCUGGUGCCAGCCGCCGCGGUUACACCACGUGGCCCAAACUGACCCCCUCCGGCGUAAAGCGUGAUUAAAGCCUUUUUCUAACUGCAAUCAAACUAAAACUAAGCUGUGACACGCUUGUUACUAGGAAACUUAAGAAACGAAAGUCAUUGCA
rnacentral:rRNA from 1 species